ensembl:snRNA U6 U6 spliceosomal RNA
GUGCUUGUUUUGGCAGCAUAUAUGCUAAAACUAGAAUAAUAUAGAGAAGAUGAGCAUGGCCCCUGUGCAAGGAUGACACACAGAUUCAUGAAGCAGUCCAUAUUCUU